AUUGAACGCUGGCGGCAGGCCUAACACAUGCAAGUCGAACGAGUGGCGGACGGGUGAGUAAUGUCUGGGAAACUGCCCGAUAGAGGGGGAUAACUACUGGAAACGGUAGCUAAUACCGCAUACCAUCGGAUGUACCCAGAUGGGAUUAGCUUGUUGGUGGGGUAACGGCUCACCAAGGCGACGAUCACUAGCUGGUCUGAGAGGAUGAUCAGCCACACUGGAACUGAGACACGGCCCAGACUCCUACGGGAGGCAGCAGUGGGGAAUAUUGCACAAUGGGCGCAAGCCUGAUGCAGCCAUGCCGCGUGUAUGAAGAAGGCCUUAGGGUUGUAAAGUACUUUCAGCGGGGAGGCGUUACCCGCAGAAGAAGCACCGGCUAACUCCGUGCCAGCAGCCGCGGUAAUUC
rnacentral:rRNA from 1 species